GAUGAACGCUGGCGGCGUGCCUAAUACAUGCAAGUCGAGCGAACGGACGAGAAGCUUGCUUCUCUGAUGUUAGCGGCGGACGGGUGAGUAACACGUGGAUAACCUACCUAUAAGACUGGGAUAACUUCGGGAAACCGUAGCUAAUACCGGAUAAUAUUUUGAACCGCAUGGUUCAUAAGUGAAAGACGGUCUUGCUGUCACUUAUAGAUGGAUCCGCGCUGCAUUAGCUAGUUGGUAAGGUAACGGCUUACCAAGGCAACGAUGCAUAGCCGACCUGAGAGGGUGAUCGGCCACACUGGAACUGAGACACGGUCCAGACUCCUACGGGAGGCAGCAGUAGGGAAUCUUCCGCAAUGGGCGAAAGCCUGACGGAGCAACGCCGCGUGAGUGAUGAAGGUCUUCGGAUCGUAAAACUCUGUUAUUAGGGAAGAACAUAUGUGUAAGUAACUGUGCACGUCUUGACGGUACCUAAUCAGAAAGCCACGGCUAACUACGUG
rnacentral:rRNA from 1 species